UACGUAGGCAGCGAGCGUUGUUCGGAGUUACUGGGCGUAAAGGGUGCGUAGGCCGGCCCGCAAGUGCUUUGUGAAAUCCCCCGGCUCAACCGGGGAACAGCGGGGCAUACUGCGGGUCUUGAGGAAGGUAGGGGUUGCCGGAACUGUAGGUGGAGCGGUGAAAUGCGUAGAUAUCUACAGGAACGCCGAUGGUGAAGACGGGCAACUGGGCCUUUCCUGACGCUGAGGCACGAAAGCGUGGGGAGCAAACAGG
rnacentral:rRNA from 1 species